rnacentral:lncRNA from 1 species
AAACAUUUCCCAAAACAUCUCUCCCAUACUUAGACACAUUUUCUCUCAAAUUUUCUCAAGAACCCUAAUCCAAACCUUCCUCAAGAUUGAAGAGACUCUUGCUCCAAGUUGCAAGCUUCCAUUGAAGACACUCUCAAGACCUUCAUAAGAACUCAAGGUAUGUGGUGUUGAACUCAUGGGUCCUUCCACCCAUAGUGCCUAGACUCUAUUCUACUCACUAAUUCAUUGUUUAAGUUAAGAUUCAUAAAUUAGUCUUGUUCUUUGUAAUAAUUUUCCUACACAUUGAAUUUUAAACAUGAAAAGUGAUUGUUUUGAGCAUGUUGUGACUCUAGAACUUGAAUCUAAAUUUGGAAUGGAUGUGAAGAUUUUCAUAAGGUAUUGUGGGUGUUAAAAAGGGUGUUGUUGUAGGUUGUUCAUUGGUUUGGCUGCAUAAUUACUACCCUAUUUUCCAUGCUCUUUGAUUCCAUUACAUGCCUUCAAGGUGUUUGACAAAAUGUCCAACUAUGGAGAAUUGAUGAAUCGAUGCUUUAAAGCUUGAGUUAUGAGAUGUAUGGAAAUCCAGAGAUGUGUUGAUGACAAACUAAGCUUGUGUAUAUGUUCAUUCCAUACGUGAGAUUGCAUUAGAGCCUAAUGGGAAUUUCCUAUAUAAAGUGUUGCAUGACCAUGCCCGGUCCGGGGGAAAAGAACCGGACAACCAUGUGAGAGGUUUAUAUCUCACCACCUAGGAUGCUUGGGGUGUGACCAACAUCAACCAUGUGAGGGGUUUAUACCUUGCCACCAGGGUGUCCGGGUGUGAACGGCAUCCCCCAUCCUAAGUUGGGGUUAUAGAUUGGUUGGAUCAUGCAUACACAUAUGAUAUCUACUAUUAGUAUAGAGUUACUUAAACAUGUUUUGACUUCACUUUGAUCAUGCAUCCUCAUAUUGUUAUUCAUAAUGCCUAUGAAACUAUUUCUUGUAUUUCGAUUGUGUCCUUGUUUAUUGUUGUGUUGCACCCCGCAUACUUAGUACAUUCCAAGUACUAACGCAUAUUUUGCCUACAUGAUGUCACCAUGUAGGGACCGGAGCUACUCUUGAUCCUUCUCUCCAUUCACGUGGCUAGUACGACGCUUAUCCGAGUUUGUUGGUGAGUCCUCAAUGAUUCGAGGGCUAUGUUAUGUUUCCUACUCCUAUGUUUUGAGACUUUAGCUUGCAAUUGUAUUUUGACUAUGAGGGGAGCCGGUAGAAUGUCAUGGCCCCGUCCUAUCUAUGUAUGUAGAGGUGUGCGUUGGACAAGUAUUUUGUAAAUGAGCUUGACUCUUGUUCUAUGAUGUCAUUUUGAAAUGGUUUGCCCUUAGUCCCUAUUUCCCGUUAAUUAAUGUUGAAUGUACUUCCGCGACCGAUGAAGUGUGAUGACAAGUUUGAGAGGCUUGUUUGGGGUUCCUUCGGGUUCCUCAUUCGCCAUGUCACGUCUAGGCCCUAGGCUUGGGUCGUGACAGUUACCCUCAUAGUCCCAUAACUACGUACCCCCAUAGGUUGUAAGUCCCCUCUGUGGGCAUCAUUUUAGUGAUCACGCCAGUCAUGCCUUUAUACCCUUGGCAUGGUUUAAUGGGGCCUCUCGAUGGGGCGUAUACAUCGGACUCCACGUUUAGCUCACGUGGUUUUAUGUCGGUUAUUGGUAGCUCCCAGAGCUCAAUCAGACUCUAAUGCAUUGACCAUGUUAUCAGUACAGUUCAAUAUUCAAUCUCAGCAUGUUAUAAAUUUGGUCAUUGCAUUCAGUUAUUUCAUGUUCAGUAUUCUCAGUUUAGUAUCAUGUUUGUAUCAUAUCAUUGCUCAAUAUAUGCUUUGGUUCUGUUAUGAUUUUAUUCAGUUUUACUCUAUCCUACAUGCUCAGUACCUUUCAAGUACUAACGCAUACUCUGCACUACAUCUUCUCGUGAUGUAGGUUCAGGCCCUCAGCAGUCAGAUCACGCAUAGAUAGGUUCCCAAUCUCCAGUUCAGCAGCAUCAGUGGUGAGUCCUCAUUCUUCGAGAACGAGUGACAUGAUGUAUUUUAUGCUUUUAGUCUUUAGUUUUAGUUUUUGCUUGAUUUAGUUGGG